GCAAAUGUACUGAGGAAUGGAUGUGGAAAGUUUUGUUCUCUUUCGAGGAGGAAAACGAGUUACGCUGAAUGGCAGUGACAUGUCAGUGGACAAGAUAUGCAGAAUUUUCCAGCUUUAUACGCAGACCCUCGUCUUCUUCUGCACCCACUGAAACACCACAAGCUUCAACUUCACGAUCCAGUUUUCCAACAAGAGUGUUCCAAAGGUCGAUACACAUUGCAGAAAUUGUGAAUGACAAAUUAAAAGCUGCCAGGACCGUGGUCAUUCGCUUCAUGGAAUCUGAUG